rnacentral:rRNA from 1 species
AUUGAACGCUGGCGGCAUGCCUUACACAUGCAAGUCGAACGGCAGCGGACCUUCGGGUGCCGGCGAGUGGCGAACGGGUGAGUAAUAUAUCGGAACGUACCUUUCAGUGGGGGAUAACGUAGCGAAAGUUACGCUAAUACCGCAUAUUCUGUGAGCAGGAAAGCAGGGGAUCGCAAGACCUUGCGCUGAUUGAGCGGCCGAUAUCAGAUUAGCUAGUUGGUGAGGUAAAGGCUCACCAAGGCGACGAUCUGUAGCGGGUCUGAGAGGAUGAUCCGCCACACUGGAACUGAGACACGGUCCAGACUCCUACGGGAGGCAGCAGUGGGGAAUUUUGGACAAUGGGCGCAAGCCUGAUCCAGCCAUGCCGCGUGAGUGAAGAAGGCCUCGGUUGUAAGCUCUUCGGUCCGGACGAAGUACGCACA